CCCAUAGCAGCACACUCACUGAGUCAACCACUUGUAAUGUGGGGAUGGGUCUUUGUGGUGAAGAGAUAUGAAAACAAUUCUGGAUUCAAGAGUUUAAUGAGGGAGUGGUAACAGAGGAAUCUUGGUAUUUCUUGUUCUCAAGCCAGUUAUGAAGAAAAUAUGGUGAGUACAAGCUGCUACUCCACUAAGUUAAGACUUAUAACGGAGGCAUGAAAGUUCUUGAAUUAUUGCCAGAUAUGAUGUGAUUUAAUAAUGUGUCUAUUCAAAUGUGCAGUAGAAUUGAGAAGAAGCUUCCUCUUUAGAAUAUUAAAAUAUAAACCCGUGGAACACUUUAGAUUAUUGCAAAAGACACUGAGUUCAUAAAAAUGUUAUAGAAAUACAAAUAUUGCUUAAAAAAAAGGAAAAUAUUUAAUAAGCAAUUCCACUUUUGAAAACAUUUUUAUAACUCUUUAAAGGGUUGCUCCAUGCACCAUGAUCACUUGGGUGAGUUGAACUGGUUAUAGUGUCUGGAGUCUGUAUUAGCAAUGCUGCACAUAUGGAGUUUAACCCAUCUAGUGCAGAGGUGUAACUUGACUUCCAGCAACAUUAUUGGGGCUUCAUUAUCCAGCUAAUGUAAAUUCUGUGCAUGUGUUUGCUUUCUGCCAAGGAAUAGUGAUUUGAUCAGAAGAGCAUCACCAGUGCUCACUGAAGUCCAGCAGGGACCCAAGUAAGGGGACAAACCGUUACUAAAUUACUCCAUCAUCAGGAAACCCGGCCAAAGUACUUCACUCUCCACUGUGUUAUUUCCAUCCAGUUUUUCUUUAACGUCAGCUGCAUGUUGGCUACUACUAGGUGGUUAUAGUGUAGAGGGAAAUAAUGGCUGCAUAGUGAGAGACUGGAUCUGUAGUGUAGCGGUGGAUGAGGGCUUUAGCAUAGGAGGGAGGGUCGGUACUGUAGGGUGUAUAGGAGCCAUAGUGUAGAGAAGGACGGGGGCUGCAGAGUAGAGCAGAUAUUUUAGUAUUAAAUUUAAUAGGGCCCUAUUCACUUUUAUUAUUAUUUUUAUUAUGUUUAUUAUUAUUAUGUUGAGGACAUGGAACUGUUUGGAGGGAUGGGGGAGGAGAGGGGAUUGCAAAUAAAGAAGUUGCUCUCAGGCUCCUCUUGACCUCGCUAUGCCACUACCAGGGGAGUGGUGGCGAAGGUCCCCCCAGAAAAGCACAUAAUCUAAUGCUUGUCUGUGAGAAGCAUUCACGGUUUUCAUUAGCAUUAUGCUGUAUGUAUGAUGUUGCCGAAUAUGAAGAAUUUUAAUAAUUAGAUGUUUUCAAUGAGGAAGUGCCUCUAAUGGCUGUUAGUCUGACAGCCAACAGAUGAGAGAUCAUGGCCAAAAACCCGAGGCUCUCCUCCCUUAUGAAAUCUUUAAGAACUGAACUCAAGAACAUCAAAAAAAAUCUCAAGAACCCCAUUAAAAAUGGUUACUAUGGCAUUACAAUAAAUAAUGAUAGAAUAUGGUCAUUAUGCAAUUUCAUUAUAGUCUAUACAAUAGGAUAUUUUUAAUGUGUAAUCUCACAAUUUACUUUGCUAAAGAAAUGUUAUGUUUACCGGUUAUUAAUAUAUAUAUUAGAUGUGGGUGUUUUUGAAAGAUCAUUUGUCAAAGAGAGAAGUCAAAUCUUCUCCCUCGCUAAAUAUGUCUUCUGCUUUGUAAACACACCAAAUGAUAAUGAGAACAGUCAAGCAACCCCCAACGCAUAUUAUCUUCUUACCACUCACAUCUUUCAUUGUGGAUUACAGAGAAGUGGUUGCACACACACGAACAGCACCUUACAAAUUAAAUGUUUAGUUUAGCGAAGUGAUUAUUAGUUACAUUUCAUGGGUGGUAAGUGCAACACUUCACAUAAUCCCUUAAGAGCCUGUACGUAUCAGGAGACUUGCACAACAAUUCGAUAAUCCCACACACAUUUUUUUAGGGUUUACUUAUAAAUCUAUGUGAUGGGAUCAGUAUAUAAAGUAUAUAGGAAACAAACUAAACCACCAAUAACUGGAAGAUGGAUCAUGCUACACAGCCCACCCACAAUAAGCAACCAUGCAAGGGAGAAAAUGGUGUAAAUCAUCAAUUUCAAUGUGUCCCCAUAGGUUGGAAGAAGCAUAUCUCAUUUGUCAGACCUCAGGCAACUGCCUACAUUAUACUGGUUUACUGUAGCUGUGUUGGUUACCCCAGGGCAUUGGAGACCUUUCUCACAGUGGGAAUUUUCCAAUAAAGAAGUUUUGCUGAGUUAAUUUUGUUAUAUAUUACACAAGAGUUAGAAAAUCAUUGAGCUAAUUUCAAAAUGAAUUAAAAUAAUGGGUCAUGACAGAAUUUAGGUCCCUAAGGAAAAAAAAAAAAAAGAUUAGAGUGUUACUCUAACCAUCAUGACCACUUCUGAGGGGUCAGUAUGUUAGGAGUCUGGAUGCGCAGUGUAUCUGCUUGAAAUGCUGCAGAUGCAUAGGCAUUUGUACUUGUCUGACAGGGGCUAGUCACACCCCUGGCACAUGGUAAUUAGGUAGCCUGGAACUCUGGCAACAGACGAAAUCUGCAUGGGUCUUCCUUUCCUCCCGCCCAAAUUGCAGCCCUCUUUCCUCCCCAUCCCAUGUGCUAUUUUUUUUUCUUCUGCCUUCCCUCCUCUUGGAUCACAUGCAAGCGCUCUGAGUUGGUUAAACGGUCAAAUAAAGACUUCUCUAGGAGGCUUCUGUGAUGUCAUAAGGGGGCGUUGCGAAUUACAAUUGAAAAGCUGACCUAUGUUCGUGGGCUCAAAGGGACCAGUUUUAAAGGCUUUACAGAUUUGCCAAAAAGCCAUGAAUUCCGUAAGAGCGCCAACCAUUAAUUGAAAGGUACAGGGAAUUGGAGGCAUUCAGUGGAAAGUGCUCAUUUGGAUUGGCGAAUUUGAACCGGAAGCUGCAGAGUUUUGUACUCAGGCACUGUAAGUGUGUUUAAAACCAGUGAUGGUCCCAUUAACUUCUAUGUAAGCAUUUUUAAAUUGGUGUCAUUAGAAAGUUUUAGUAAACAGUAUUAUACUAUGAUUUACUUUGUCUUUAUGUUUCUCACAUGCGAAUUGAAAAACUGUGAAUGACCACAAAAUUUUAAUUAUUACAAGAUAAGUUUAAAUUUGCCACUUGUUGCACCUGCAUGUAUUAUCUUGUGCACAGCCCAAGCACAUAUACCAGAGUAACUUUUUAUCCGUUAUAUAUUUUUUUACAUAUCUUGCCACGUGUGGAGUGAGUCACUGGGGUUAUGUGUUAUGUUCUGUAAUAAUGCCUACAACGGUUAUUUUUGUUUAUUUGUUUAAGCGCCAGGAGCUUCGCCCGGUGCUAGAAUAAGGCAAUGAAAACAUAUUUUAUUAACUUUGUUUAUCCAUUGCUAGGGGAGGACUGGAAGUUUAAUGGCCAACAGGGCCUUAUUCUAAAAAAAAAAGGGGUUGGAACAAUAUUUUAAUUUAUGCAUCAAUAUGUAAAUUCAAAUUAUCAUCUCAUACAAGCACUGUUUAAACUUCACGUGUAUUUAAAAUGCUAGACAUGUUCCUCUAAAAGACAAACUGCUCAUAUCUAAAUUUUGUGAGUGAUGAAAUAUUCCAUGGACUGUUCCAUGCUCUGUAUAAAUAUUCCUUUCUGGGCAAGGUUGAAUUUCUGUUUUGUAGACGUCCCUGUUAUACCAUUGAACAGUUUCACCUCUGGCAUGUUUUAUGAUGAGACUAACCUUUUUAUUAAACCAUGUUUUGCACUGAAAUUCACAAAAAGUUGCCAACCUCAUGUAAAAAGUUUCCAACUUGGUUCCUAGUUAUUAUACUAAAUAUCUUGCAUAUUGCCACAGUGUCGACAAAUACAUCUCAAUAUCCUGGGCACACAGGCAUACUUUCAGAAGAAAAUACAUAAAUAAUCUGUUGGUUGGCUUUCUACUAAAUCUUUCCUAGUACAGUCAGAAAACUUUCAGCUUGAUUUACUAAAGCCUGGCAGGCUUUUUAUUUGGUGUUGCAGCAAAAUUACAUUUUUAUUUAUUAAAAUACCAUAUAUACUCGAGUAUAAGAUGAGUUUUUCGGCACAUUUUUUGUGCUGAAAAAGUCCCACUCGUCUUAUACUCGAAUCAGUGUCUGUAUUAUGGCAACUUACAUUGCCAUAAUACAGACCAGGACCGCCGGGCUCAUUACAAGCCCGGCGGUCCUGUUGGGGGCCGGAGCAAGCUGUAACUUACCUUUACUUCAGCUCCCUUCUCCUCCGUGCUGUUCAGUUCACAGUGUAAGUCUCGCGAGAGCCGUGGCCGUCAGAACGUUGCGGCACGCAGACCGCAAGACUUACACUGUGAGUUGAACGGCAUGGAGGAGAAGGGAGCUGAAGUAAAGGUAAGUUACAGCUUGCUCUCAGCCCGACUCCUGCACAGCCCAUCCACUGAACCAACAGGGAAUAAUAUAGCCCCCUCCCUUGCCAGGCAAACAAAACACAAACACACUCUGCAUCAUAAACACAAACACACUCUGCAUCACAUACACAAACACACUGUGCAUCAUAUAUACAAACACACUGUGCAUCAUAUGCACAAACACACUGUGCAUCAUAUGCACAAACACACUGUGCAUCAUAUGCACAAACACACUGUGCAUCAUAUGCACAAACACACUGUGCAUCAUAUGCACAAACACACUGUGCAUCAUAUGCACAAGCACACUGCGCAUCAUAUACACAAGCACACUGCGCAUCAUAUACACACACUCUGCAUUCAUACACACACACUGCAUUCAUACACACAAACGCACUCUGCAUCACAUACACACACACACUCUGCAUCACAUACACACACUGCAUUCACACACACACACACUGCAUUCGUACACACACACACACUGCAUUCGUACACCCACACACACUGCAUUCAUACAUACACACUCUGCAUUCAUUAUACACACACACUGUAAAUAAAUAUUCAAUUAAUAUAAUUUUUUGGGGGAUCUAAUUUCAUUUAGAAAUUUACCAGUAGCUGCUGCAUUUUCCACCCUAGUCUUAUACUCGAGUCAAGUUUUACCCCAGUUUUUUGGGGUAAAAUUAGGGGCCUCGACUUAUAUGCGGGUCGACGUGUACUUGAGUAUAUACGAUAGAUUAACUUUACUGCAACAGAAAUUGAGUGCAAGCGAUCCAACGGAAACCAGAGGAUCUACAACACCAUUUGCUAUUUAUGAUAUUGCAUUGUGGUUUCCUGAUUUAUUUUUAUUUAUAUAGAGCUAACAUAUCCCGCAGCACUGUACAAUAGGUAAAAAAGACAAACAUUUAAUUCUGACAAAAAAAGUAUGACUUACAGGAACAGUAGGUGAACAGGACCCUGCCCAAAUGAGCUUUCAAUCUAAAACUACUUAGACGAGGGGUAAAUAGACUUAACCCUCAGCAGAAAGCAAAAAAACAAACCAGGAGUGGCCUAUUCUAUUAUAUUCCCCUUAUGGGCUAUGGAGUGGAGAGUAAUAACUAAAUAAGGCCCAGGAGAUACCCAGUCUCCAGGGACAUAUUGGGUAUUUAGCUGAUUUAAUAGUCCAAGGGAUGUUUAGUCUCAAAAUACCAAUGGGGACUGAUCAAUAUCUCUGUGUAGAUUUAUCAGUCAAGGUGGGAGAAACUUUUAUAAAGGUUUUUCCAUACUUCGCCUUAUAUCUAUACGCGUUACUGGAUGAGACAUGCUGGGCAGAGUGCUAGGGGAAUAGAUUUGCUGUGUGAGGUCAGUUUAAUAUUGGAAGCCAGCCCGAAAACCGUGAUAUUAAAUAUCACUUUCAAAGUGAUUUCUGAGUGUAAAUUAAUUAAUCAGAAGCCAGCUAUUUACACCAUCUAGUAGUAGAUCUAGGUGCAUAUAUGUAGUACAUGUAUCUAUGUUCAGUUUAGCCAUUGCAAAUAUAAUGCAUGUAAUGUAAUAAGGAAAUCACCUGUGCUAUUUUUUUCACUUACGUUAACUGUCUAUAUUAAUUUACUCUUUAUUUUAUAGCCAAUGUUAGGCUUUGUGUUCAUCAAAUAAGCUGAAUAUGUUCCUCUGAGUCCCUUUCUAUAAAUAGCUCUUCAUAUAAAAGUCUCAGUUGUGAGCCAAGUAGAAAAAUGCUUCUAAUUGGAAGUUAUUCCCAUGAUUGUAUCUUUUGAGCGUAUUACUAUGACCUAGAUCCAGGCAGAGAAAUUAAGUAUUAUUUACCAUUAGAUCAAACAAACUGAAUUAAUUCCUGCUUUUUUAAUGUGUAUGUUUUCACCAAAUAGUAUUACAAAUAUAACAUUUUACAAAUGUUUUAUUCAUAGUUGUCCAUAUCAAGGUCGAUAGACCUUAUCACUAUUCUUAGUGAUAAAGCAUUCUCCAAAAACCUCAGUAAUACCAGGUGCCACCAUGUGGCCAAAACGUUUACUACUCUGAAGAGGGAUACAAUGUACUUUAUGCAAUCAGGACUGGGAUGAUGUAGAGCUAGCAUGUCAAACUCGCAGGCCACAAUGAAUAUCUUUGUGGCCCAGCGAACCGUGUGUUUGACAGAGUAGGCACCUGCUCUCCCCAUAUUGCAGGUGCCAUCUCUGCUAAAAUGUACCCAGCCGGUAGGAGAGGUCACUGGCGGCAGAGAGGAAGCUCAGUCUUCCUGCUCCUCACUGCUCCCUUGCGCGCACCUUCUGUAGUGAUGCCGGGUGCUGGAAUAUGACGUCAUCUUCCAGCACCCGGCAUCACUAAAUUGCGCGCGUGAGGAGCAGGAAUGGAGACCUCGCAAGAAAAGCUCCCAAAGGUAGGGAACAAUAAAUAAAAUGAUGUGAGUGUGUGCAAGAAUGUGUAAAUAUGUGUGUGUGUGUGUCUGUCAGUCAGUGUGUGUGUCUGUCAGUGUCAGUCAGUCAGUGAGUGAGUGUGUGUUGGUGUGUGUGUGUAUCUGUCAGUCAGUGAGUUUGUGUCUGUCAGUGAGUGUGUGUCUGUCAGUGAGUGUGUGUUGGUCAGUGUUGCAAUGGCAAAGGCUGGACAGUGGAGGACGUCAACGUGCUCCACCUUCACAGGGUAAAAAAUACAGAACCCUUGGUUGGAUACCAAAUGAGUGCAAACAAUUGCUCUGGUCUCCCCCUAUGUGUCUCAUCCCGACCAAGCCCUUCAAUGUGUCUCAUUCUCACCCCCGGCCCUCCAUGUGUCUCAGUCUCCCCCCAGCUUUUCCACAUGUCUCAAGCCCCAUCCCUUCCAUGUGUCUAAUUCUCACCUAGACCCUCCAUGUGUCUCACUCCCACCUUUCAUGUGUCUCAACUCCACCCCAGUCCAUUACAUGUGUCUCAAUUCCCCCCAGUCACUUCUAUGUCUCUCAACCCCCCCAGUCCCUUCCAUGUGUCUCACUCCCACCCAGUCCCUUCCAUCUGUCUCAAUGUCCAACCAAGUCCCUUCCAUUUGUCUCAAUGUCCACCCCCAGUCUUUUCCAUGUGUCUCAAUGUCCCCUCCCCAGUCCCUUCCAAGUUAUUCAGGCACACAGUCGGAGGGUCCCUUGUAGAGAUGGGCCAUUCGUAGCUGAGACCCAGUAGGUAUGCCACUGCCAAAUAUAUGUGAUUGCUUAACUUAUAUCUCAUUGUUAUUUCACCCUUUACAUGUGUUCGUUUCAUAAAUAACACAAUAUCUCCAAACACCAGCUUUGUCUCCAAACUUAAGACUUAUUUCACUACCCACAUAAGCCAUAUAAUCAUCUCCCUAAUUCCAUUUUUUUUUUAAACUUGACUGUCUACUGUCUAAUUUGACCAUUUCACGGUAAGAUAAAUAUUGCCUCUAGACUUACUUUGUCGUCUCCUAUUUAGUUUUUGCUCUUAUCGUUUCCUGCCAAUUAAACCCACCCCUCUUCAUCCUGCCUUUUCAUUUCUCCACUUCUUGUUGACACCACAUUUCUCUGACUCUUCGUUGUUCCCCUGUCUUUCAUUGUUUUUCCAGAUCCAUCAUGGAUGGCAGUGGUAGGAUGAGAACAAGUUUG